rnacentral:rRNA from 1 species
ACUCCUACGGGAGGCAGCAGUGGGGAAUUUUGGACAAUGGGGGCAACCCUGAUCCAGCCAUGCCGCGUGAGUGAAGAAGGCCUUCGGGUUGUAAAGCUCUUUCAGCCGGGAAGAAAUCGCGCAUUUUAAUAGAGUGUGUGGAUGACGGUACCGGACCAAGAAGCACCGGCUAACUACGUGCCAGCAGCCGCGGUAAU